CUCCCCGAAAUGCGUUGAGGCGCAGCAGUUGACUGGACAUCUAGGGGUAAAGCACUGUUUCGGUGCGGGCUGCGCGAGCGGUACCAAAUCGAGGCAAACUCUGAAUACUAGAUAUGACCCAAAAAUAACAGGGGUCAAGGCCGGCCAGUGAGACGAUGGGGGAUAAGCUUCAUCGUCGAGAGGGAAACAACCCGGAUCACCAGCUAAGGCCGAUUCUCCAAAAUUUAAGACAAUUAUCGUCACUCAAACUUCAAAAAGUGCGGCGGCUACAGCAGCCGUAGAUCCCCUUGACUUUUGGCCGGCAGCUGGACGAGGAGGUGGAGGAGGACAGCGACAGGGGCCUACAAGGCUUCCCCGAUGACGGGCCGGUGCCGGCAGGAAAGGGGAG
rnacentral:ncRNA from 1 species